rnacentral:SRP_RNA from 1 species
GCCAGGCACAGUGGCUCGUUCCUGUAGUCCCAGCUAUUUGGGACGCUGAGGUGAGAGGAUUGUUUGAGCCCAGGAGUUCUGGGCUGUAGUGCACUAUGCCAAUCAGGUGUCUGCACUAAGUUCGGCCUCAAUAUGGUGACCUCCCAGGAGCGGGGGACCACCAGGUUGCCUAAGAAGGGGUGAACUGGCCCAGAUUAACGGAGCAGGUCAAAACUCCCGUGCUGAUCAGUAGUGGGAUCGCGCCUGUGAAUAGCCACUGCACUCCAGCCUGGGCAACAUAGCGAGACCCCAUCUCU